CAGAAAUAAUAAACAAAUGUGUGUUGGAAUACGCGCAGAGAGUACGAAGAGGAAAAAGGAACAAUCAGACAAAGAAAAAAUAAAAAUAAAAUGCAAAAACAACAACAACACAAGCAUAUGGAAGUGAGACAUAGCUCCAGAUAAAUGUUUUUUAACGGCUCGAUGUGUACGUACGGUCUUUCUCUCGCUCACUCAUUUGCUCAUUGCAUACGAUCACCCACUUUCGAAUGUGCAACACCAAUGUGCGAUGUAAAAAUGGAUGAUGUUGAUCGUCUUUACUUUGUAUGACCGACGACGCAUGUGUGUAGAUCUCCACACAUCUUUCAGUAGCCGCAAUAUCUCGUACUGCCAAUGCAAUGUAAUGUGCACAAAAAAAACGACAGAAGAAAAGAAACAGUUUUGCGUUGGAACGAGGACAGAUUUGCAAAGAAUAUUCACUGUGCAAUGAACAAAAACAGCCGAACAUUCGUCGACAGACGAAUCAAAGCCCAUUUCAAAAGCGAGAAAUACAAGUGACAAAAAAUUCUACUAUGCGCGACUCAAAGCCGUAAUAUUCUUUUUGCUACCAAAGAUAUUCCGCUUGCUUGCAAUCUGGCGCAACGAAUGUGAAGGCGAAGGCGACGUGCACGUAUUUCGACCAUAACUCAUUGACUCCAUAAAAAAAACCAGAGGCAGUCAUCGCUAUAGCAUUUUCUUUCCAUUCAGUUUUCAGCUCAUUUAUGACGAUAAACCAUUUUAUUUUAUUUCGUUUUUUUUUUCAGCCAUGGAAAGUGCCACGAACAAUGCCUCCGAAACAGAAAUUAAAAGCAACAACAACACCAACAAAUAUAAUCAUAAAUACAAAUUUAUGCGUUCAUAGUCGGAUUUAAGCAGAUUUUACGAACGGAUUUAUUACAAAGGACCCUGAAUAUUGUGCGUUGCCCCAAAUCAACACCUGUAAUUCAAAUCGAAUCAUACACCGGUGCCUUAAGGCCUGUACAAUUAUUGGAGAUGAAUAAAAUCGAAUAAUAAAUCUGAUGUCAUCACAUGGUCAUCAUAGCAAAAUCCGCCGAUGACAAAAUUUGGCAUGAAAUCUAAGGAAGAAAAACAUACCGAAGAGAAGAAAGCCACACAUGAGCAGCCACAAAUACCAGCGGUGUGACAUUGCUCUUCAAAUCUAAUUAAGCGAUCGGAAACAAACUCAAGACCAAGUGCCGAUCAAGAAAAUCGAUGAGAAAUGAACAAAUGCAAGGCAAUCAUUACACGUUUGGUCGUGAAAAAAAAGCGCGCGCGCGCACAUACACCGCGCACAGCAAGCAGUAACAUAACGAUUUAAUUGGGUUUAAUUUGUAUUGUUUCUUUAAGGGAAAACAAAACGGUUGCAAUCGACUUGCUUCAAUCGAUUCUCUCCUUCUCUCUCACUCUCAGUCUGUGUCUACGAUGCAAAAACAAAGGGAAAAAAGGUAAAUUCUCGCGUUUCGAUUUGCUCGUGCAACCGUUUGUAAAUCUAAUUAAGCAACCACACACCAAUAAAUCAUCACUUUGAUUUAAUCUACCUUCAAAUAGCUGUAUCUAUAGUUCGAAAAUGAAAAUCUCGACGGAACAACAAAGAAGAAGAGAAAAAAACGGAGGUAAAAUCUUUGAAGAAAAAAAAGAAGCCAAAAACAACAAACCGAAAAAGUCUUUGAAAAGAAGAAGCUUAGCUUUGAAACCGUAAAUAAGUGCGCGAAAAAUUGGCUUCUGCCAAUCUUUCAAUGAGUUGAGGGAAACCGAUUUAUCUCGGGAGCUCGCGAUGUUACACAUUUUCGAAUUGAACAACACCAGCCAUAACUAAUUAGAUCAUUACUCCGGUGUGAAUAAUUCAUGAUUCUAUUUUUGAUGAUGUGAUGAAGGCUAAGUUUCUCAUUAUUUCCAUCAUAAUUUUGUUCGAAUUGAAUAACGAAGAAAAAUGCGGCGAGCACGUAUGCGAUUUUUUCCAUCUUGCAUUGACUACUUAACAAUGGACACAUUAAAUGGGUUCAGUGCAUUGAAUUUGCCA